rnacentral:rRNA from 1 species
AUGUAUGAAGACGACGAGUUUGACCAGAGACAGCUAGCUGCACUAGUUGUCUCUAAGGUGUUUUACUACUUGGGCGAGUUAAAUGAUGCACUGUCGUAUGCACUUGGUGCUGGACCUCUGUUUGACGUUUCUGAGGAUUCAGAUUAUGCUCAGGCUCUUUUAGCCAAAGCAUUAGAUGAAUAUGUGAGUUUCAAGACAAGAGCUUCAGGAAGAAGAGAAAAUGUGGAUCCUAGACUAGAGACCAUAGUGGAGAGGAUGUUGGAGAGGUGUAGUCUUGAUGGGAAAUACCAACAGGCCAUGGGUAUGGCUGUUAAAUGCAGGAAACUGGAAUAGCUGGAGGAAGCAAUUGUUUGGUGUGCUAAUAUUCCUGGGGCUCUUUCAUAUUGCAUCAACCUCUCUCAUCAAUAUGUUAGUCACCGUGAAUAUCGUUCUAAGGUUCUUCGCUGUCUUGUUAAAAUAUACCAGACUUUGCUGCAUCUAGACUAUCCGAGCAUUUGCCAGUGCCUUAUGGUUCUGGGCGAGCUUGAAACUGUUGCGAAUAUAUUGGACACACUACUUUCUGGAAGCCAGGAUGAUGCUCUCAUUGCAUACCAAAUUGCUUUUGAUCUAGUGGAAAAUGAAAAUCAGGCCUUCCUUCUAAAUGUGGGGAAUCGCCUGGACUCACAGACUCCUGGUCAGUCAUCUUUACUGGUUGAUCAGACUGUUAACGCUGGUACAACUAGCACAGAACCAGCAGGUGAUGUUCAGAUGGGAGAUGACACAACUACGGCAAACAGAAAUGCUCACCCAGUGGAUCCAAAGGAGGCAGCGCAUGCUGAUAGGCUUGCAAAACUUAAAGGGAUACUAUCAGGGGAGAAGUCUAUUCAGCUUACACUGCAAUUUUUGUAUAGCCACAACUGGUACACUUAUUAUGUCCUAAACGUUGAACCCUGGUCUCUUGCAACUUUUAUAUCUGACAGGUAUGCACCCCCGAUUCUAUUGUAG